GAAUGUUGACCUCGAAUCAGGUAGGAAUACCCGCUGAACUUAAGCAUAUCAAUAAGAGA
rnacentral:rRNA from 1 species